CGCUGGCGGCGUGCCUAAUACAUGCAAGUCGAGCGACCAGACGAGGAGCUUGCUCCUCUGACGUUAGCGGCGGACGGGUGAGUAACACGUGGAUAACCUACCUAUAAGACUGGGAUAACUUCGGGAAACCGGAGCUAAUACCGGAUAAUAUAUUGAACCGCAUGGUUCAAUAGUGAAAGACGGUUUUGCUGUCACUUAUAGAUGGAUCCGCGCCGCAUUAGCUAGUUGGUAAGGUAACGGCUUACCAAGGCAACGAUGCGUAGCCGACCUGAGAGGGUGAUCGGCCACACUGGAACUGAGACACGGUCCAGACUCCUACGGGAGGCAGCAGUAGGGAAUCUUCCGCAAUGGGCGAAAGCUUGACGGAGCAACGCCGCGUGAGUGAUGAAGGUCUUCGGAUCGUAAAACUCUGUUAUUAGGGAAGAACAAAUGUGUAAGUAACUAUGCACGUCUUGACGGUACCUAAUCAGAAAGCCACGGCUAACUACGUG
rnacentral:rRNA from 1 species